rnacentral:rRNA from 1 species
GGGGAAUAUUGGACAAUGGGCGAAAGCCUGAUCCAGCCAUGCCGCGUGAGUGAUGAAGGCCUUAGGGUUGUAAAGCUCUUUUACCCGGGAAGAUAGUGACGGUACCGGGAGAAUAAGCCCCGGCUAACUUCGUGCCAGCAGCCGCGGUAAUACGAAGGGGGCUAGCGUUGUUCGGAUUUACUGGGCGUAAAGCGCACGUAGGCGGAUUCUUAAGUCAGGGGUGAAAUCCCGAGGCUCAACCUCGGAACUGCCUUUGAUACUGGGGAUCUUGAGUCCGGAAGAGGUGAGUGGAACUGCGAGUGUAGAGGUGAAAUUCGUAGAUAUUCGCAAGAACACCAGUGGCGAAGGCGGCUCACUGGUCCGGAACUGACGCUGAGGUGCGAAAGCGUGGGGAGCAAA